GAAUAUCCCGACUUUUACUGAUGGCUAAUGUACUGCAAUUAAUGGCUAGUAGUCAACUCGGUAGUCAGUCCUUCACUAGCAGAAGACACUCCAGUGAGAACAAGCAACAGGGAAAGGAAGAGAAGAAGUCCCAGAGAGUUUAUUCCAGGAAGUGACCAAAGAAGAUUACGCUGACAUAAUUCACACGAGUCAAGGAGAUAAUUUUGUUCUCUCUCUCUUCUCAGCUUUUAUCAAAAUCUGUUUUCAUGUGAUUUCUUCAUGUCAAGAGGUUUCAGUGAAUUACCUCAAGUUACUGUUAAUGGAGUGGUACUGGAACUGGAGGAUGAAGAUCUUCAGAAUGCAAUAGUUAAUGAGUUCAGCAUCAAACAUCAGAAAUACAGCAACUAGUUUAUAGAGUAAGUGAU